rnacentral:lncRNA from 1 species
AUGUUUUGCAGGAUUUUCCUUCUAGUUCAUUCACUGCCAGAUCAAAUCCACCAGAGGUUCUGGUUGUUAGUCCCAGGACAACCAUGGUAUUUCCUGUCCCAGGUAGUUGGUUCAACCAUGGUAUUUCCUGUCCCAGGUAGUUUGUUCAACCAUGGUAUUUCCUGUCCCAGGUAGUUGAACAUGUUCAACCAUGGUAUUUCCUGUCCCAGGUAGUUGGACAUGUUCAACCAUGAUAUUCCUGUCCCAGGAAGUUGGACAGGUUCAACCAUGGUAUUUCCUGUCCCAGGUAGUUGGACAUGUUAUAUCGUGUAGUUUUUAUUGGUCAUCAGGGUAGACCCUGAUCUGUUGGGGACAGUAGCUCAUCUGGGUAGACCUGAUCUGUGGUUUGCCAGUAGGUCAUCUGGGUGACCCUGGUCUGUUGGUGCCAGUAGGUCAUUUGGGUAGACCUCUGUUGGUGCAGUGGCCAUCUGAUCUGUUGGUGACAGUAGGUAUCUGAUCUGUUGGUGACAGUAGGUCAUCUGAUCUGUUGGUGCCAGUAGGUCAUCUGGAUAGACCCUGAUCUGUUGGUGAUAGUAGGGC